rnacentral:rRNA from 1 species
GAAACUGUUAGACUUGAGUGCAGANGGGGAGAGUGGAAUUCCAUGUGUAGCGGUGAAAUGCGUAGAUAUAUGGAGGAACACCGGUGGCGAAAGCGGCUCUNUGGUCUGUCACUGACGCUGAGGCUCGAAAGCGUGGGUAGCGAACAGGAUUAGAUACCCUGGUAGUCCACGCCGUAAACGCUGAGUGCUAGGUGUUAGGUCCUUUCCGGGACUUAGUGCCGACGCUAACGCAUUAAGCACUCCGCCUGGGGGGUACGACCGCAAGGUUGAAACUCAAAGGAAUUGACGGGGGCCCGCACAAGCGGUGGAGCAUGUGGUUUAAUUCGAAGCAACGCGAAGAACCUUACCAGGUCUUGACAUCCCGAUGCCCGCUCUAGAGAUAGAGUUUUACUUUUUGUACAUCGGAGACAGGUGGUGCAUGGUUGUCGUCAGCUCGUGUCGUGAGAUGUUGGGUUNNNNNNNNCAGCGAGCGCAACCCUUAUUGUUAGUUGCCAUCAUUAAGUUGGGCACUCUAGCGAGACUGCCGGUAAUAAACCGGAGGAAGGUGGGGAUGACGUCAAAUCAUCAUGCCCCUUAUGACCUGGGCUACACACGUGCUACAAUGGUUGGUACAACGAGUCGCAAGCCGGUGACGGCAAGCUAAUCUCUGAAAGCCAAUCUCAGUUCGGAUUGUAGGCUGCAACUCGCCUACAUGAAGUCGGAAUCGCUAGUAAUCGCGGAUCAGCACGCCGCGGUGAAUACGUUCCCGGGCCU